UACACUCCUGCGGGAGGCAGCAGUGGGGAAUAUUGGACAAUGGGCGCAAGCCUGAUCCAGCCAUGCCGCGUGAGUGAUGAAGGCCCUAGGGUUGUAAAGCUCUUUCACCGGAGAAGAUAAUGACGGUAUCCGGAGAAGAAGCCCCGGCUAACUUCGUGCCAGCAGCCGCGGUAAUACGAAGGGGGCUAGCGUUGUUCGGAAUUACUGGGCGUAAAGCGCACGUAGGCGGAUCGAUCAGUCAGGGGUGAAAUCCCAGGGCUCAACCCUGGAACUGCCUUUGAUACUGUCGAUCUGGAGUAUGGAAGAGGUGAGUGGAAUGCCGAGUGUAGAGGUGAAAUUCGUAGAUAUUCGGAGGAACACCAGUGGCGAAGGCGGCUCACUGGUCCAUUACUGACGCUGAGGUGCGAAAGCGUGGGGAGCAAACAGGAUUAGAAACCCUUCCCAGAU
rnacentral:rRNA from 1 species